CUCCCUACGAUCCCAUGUGCGAGGUGGGCAGGACGCCGGGUGUCACCCCCAUGUUGCAGGGGAAGGAACUAAGGUUCAGGGUGAUCUCCCAGCUGGACCUCAGGCCGCGCCUCCUCUAGUCUGGAUCCAUCCCGCAGUGGCCAUUGAGAGGACUGGCUUAGCAUCUAAGGUAUCAGAGGAGCAUCACCCCCUGGGAGGUGGCCAGGGGCCCACGCGUGGUCUUGGCAUCGCCUUUCACCCACUUCCCAGAGCCAGCCUGGCAGGAGGAGCUGGCAGGUGAGGGAUCAGUGGAACCGGCAGGAGCAAGGAGCUGUUCCCGCGCUCCCACCCAGCCUCCGGCAGAGCCAAAACACUAUGAAUGUGACCCACCUGUGCUCCCAGAAGACAGGCAAGCCGGGGACCAAGGCUGACCGGGCUCCCUGGCCGGCAGGUCCAU